CCCAGACUCAGAAGGACAGGACAUUCCCAAAGAAAAGAGUUUUUCUUCUAAGUUGCUUUUAAAAAUAUAUAGGUGUAUAUAUUUUAAAACAUUGCACCCGUUUUGGUGUGAGGGCGAAGGCGAAUGAAAGAAGGCAUGAGAAGUGGCGCACCAGACCGAGAGAGGCAUGAGGACACAAAGGAGAAAGUACGCCAUUGCCAAGAACCCAAGGAAGAAGGAUAGAGAGGCUGGCAGUCCUGCCUGGCCCCCAGCCAGUUUCCUGCUGAAGAUGGCCAACUCCUCUUGCCUGGCUUUCCCUCUCCACAGAAGCUAAACAGCCCCACAGGUGACUUUUGCAGAGAUUUAAUCCUGCCUGAUGUUUCCUGGUUUACUCAUUUCUCCCUCCUAACGUAGAAGGUAAGUUCCAUGAGAGCAGGAACUCUCUGCUUUGUUUAUUGCUCUGUCAUCAGCACUGACAGCGAUGCCUGCUACAGCGUCAGGAAUGUCUGUUGAAUGAAGGAGCUCUGGGAAAGACCUGCAGAUUUUCAAAGCCCUGAAGAGGAAAUUUCCCUAAGUCAAGGUCCUCUUGACAGAGAGGUGACUGUGAAAUUGCCACUGGCCUGUAGGCACCAUGUUGCUCACAGAUGCUUUCCAGACCCAUCUCUGGUCACAAGCAUGUGGAAUUGGUGGGAGCUUCCCUGGCCAAUUGAAAGACAACAGCUUUCAUGUGAUUAGCCUCCUCCCCAGAGAGAAAAAAGGUAAAUAAUAGUAAUAAUAUUACUAAUAGCUAUUAAGGUAUAUAUACCAUGGUUGGUCCUGGCACUGUGAUAAAUGCUUUACAUUAAUUUUCUCAUUUAGUCUUACAACAACCUUAUUUUAUAGAUUAGGCAGUCAAGAAUCAGAGAGGUUGAGUGAGCUGCUGAUGGUCACACAGCUCCAAGGUGGUGAAAUUAGAAAAGGGUUGGUGGGGCAGAGCUAUACCCUAAAUUGUGGCCUGGGCUCCUCCAUCCGGUCAGACUGUGCUUUAGACACAGUACAGGCAAAAUGGGCCUCCACAGGUCGACAAAUCAGAAUUCCUGGCACCCUCUAGCUUACUAGAAGAACCAAGCCUUCCACACUGCUCCCAACAUUUUUAUCUUGACCGCCCUCCUUCAAACUCCCCAAUUCCCCGUGCCUCACCAUCCCAUACUUCUCCCAAUGUCCCAAGUCGCCUAUAACCUCUCCAAUUAUUAGAGAUACCAGCAGAUCUCGAAUAAUUAAACUUUCAGCGCUCGGGCCAGAGUGCUUCAGGGAAAGGAUGAGGGGUAUGGCCUCUCCUUCUUUCGGCUACUUCUAACCUGCACCUCCAGAUGCCUUGAUUGGGACUGGGUCCUUGGUCUGGCCCCAUCCAGCCAGCACGCCCCCUUC